rnacentral:lncRNA from 1 species
AAGCAAUUUGCUCAUAGCCAUAGCUUUCUUGUGAAAGUAGGAUAUUAACCCAGGUGUCUUGGUGCUGGAGAACAGAACUGGCCAGAGUCCAUCCUGUCUCCCACCGGCAUCCCAUUACGAAAUGAACACAGAAAAGGCAGGUCUGCAAUGCCAACAUCUAGUAUCUAUCCCAAAGACCAGGGAGAAAGGAAGGAAAGAUUCUGGUUCUGUCCUCUUCCCCAAGGCAAGGCUGGCUGCCCUACCAACAGAGGCAAAGAGAAGAGUGUGCAAGGCUGGCUGCCCUCCCAACAGAGGCAAAGAGGAGUGUGUGUUGAAAUAUCCAUUGAAUCCCUGAGACAACUGGAUCCUGGCCCAUUGAAUCAUAAACUCAUUAUGGAGGCUGGGAAGACCUAGAAUGUGGCAUCACUAUUUGCUGAAAUUUUUAAUAUAAUGCCUCUUAGCCUGGUUUGGAGAAAACGUCACAGAGAGGCACCAUUUGUUGUGGUUUUACAUGAAAAUUUUCUGACCCUGAACCUGGUUUGAUGGAAAUCAUUUGCUGAGGUAAUUAUCUCAAAUUAACUACCAAGCUGAUGAAUCGCUUACUACUUAAAAGCUGUGAUGGGGAGAGGAGUAAUUGAGAGCGGCCUUGUUGGGAGGGGAUGUGGACAUUUUUUUUUUCAGCAGCCAAUCAACUUAGAGGUUUUUUUUUGUUUUGUUUUGUUUUGUUUUUGUCUUGUUUUUUUUUCUGUGUAGAAUCUGAAUGUAUUGUCACAAGGUGAACACCAG